rnacentral:rRNA from 1 species
AUUGAACGCUGGCGGCAUGCUUUACACAUGCAAGUCGAACGGCAGCGCGGGCUUCGGCCUGGCGGCGAGUGGCGAACGGGCGAGUAAUACAUCGGAACGUGCCCAGUAGUGGGGGAUAGCUCGGGGAAAGCCGGAUUAAUACCGCAUACGACCUGAGGGUGAAAGCGGGGGAUCUUCGGACCUCGCGCUAUUGGAGCGGCCGAUGGCAGAUUAGCUAGUUGGUGGGGUAAAGGCCUACCAAGGCGACGAUCUGUAGCUGGUCUGAGAGGACGACCAGCCACACUGGGACUGAGACACGGCCCAGACUCCUACGGGAGGCAGCAGUGGGGAAUUUUGGACAAUGGGCGAAAGCCUGAUCCAGCAAUGCCGCGUGUGUGAUGAAGGCCUUCGGGUUGUAAAGCACUUUUGGCGGGAACGAAAAGGACUGUGCCAAUACCACGGUUCGAUGACGGUACCCGCAGAAUAAGCACCGGCUAACUACGUG